rnacentral:rRNA from 1 species
CAGUAGCGUAUAUUAACGUUGUUGCAGUUAAAAAGCUCGUAGUUGGAUUUCUGACGUGAUGCGCUUGGCCCGCUGCCGUCAGGCAGUGUGUGCCGAGGUGCGUCUGUCAUCCUGCCAGAGAACGGCUGUGCUCUUUAUUGAGUGCGGAUUCGGUAUCUGGCUCAUUUACUUUGAAGAAACUAGAGUGUUCAAAGCAAGCUUACGCUGUGAAUAUAUUAGCAUGGAAUAAUAAUCUAGGACUUUGGUUCUAUUUUGUUGGUUCAGGAACUAAAGUAAAUGAUUGAUAGGGAUAGUUGGGGGUGGCUAGUAUUGGGCGGCCAGAGGUGAAAUUCUUGGAUUCGCUCAAGACUAACUUAUGCGAAAGCAUUCACCAAGGAUGUCUUCUUUAAUUC